rnacentral:rRNA from 1 species
UUCUGGCAUCGAUGAAGAACGCAGCGAAAUGCGAUAAGUAAUGUGAAUUGCAGAAUUCAGUGAAUCAUCGAAUCUUUGAACGCACAUUGCGCCCGCCAGUAUUCUGGCGGGCAUGCCUGUUCGAGCGUCAUUUCAACCAUCAAGCCCCAGGCUUGUGUU